rnacentral:rRNA from 1 species
UACCUGCAGUCGAACGAUGAUCCCAGCUUGCUGGGGGAUUAGUGGCGAACGGGUGAGUAACACGUGAGUAACCUGCCCUUGACUCUGGGAUAAGCCUGGGAAACUGGGUCUAAUACCGGAUAUGACCAUUCCACGCAUGUGGUGGUGGUGGAAAGCUUUUGUGGUUUUGGAUGGACUCGCGGCCUAUCAGCUUGUUGGUGGGGUAAUGGCCUACCAAGGCGACGACGGGUAGCCGGCCUGAGAGGGUGACCGGCCACACUGGGACUGAGACACGGCCCAGACUCCUACGGGAGGCAGCAGUGGGGAAUAUUGCACAAUGGGCGCAAGCCUGAUGCAGCGACGCCGCGUGAGGGAUGACGGCCUUCGGGUUGUAAACCUCUUUCAGUAGGGAAGAAGCGAAAGUGACGGUACCUGCAGAAGAAGCGCCGGCUAACUACGUGCCAGCAGCCGCGGUAAUACGUAGGGCGCAAGCGUUAUCCGGAAUUAUUGGGCGUAAAGAGCUCGUAGGCGGUUUGUCGCGUCUGCUGUGAAAGACCGGGGCUCAACUCCGGUUCUGCAGUGGGUACGGGCAGACUAGAGUGCAGUAGGGGAGACUGGAAUUCCUGGUGUAGCGGUGAAAUGCGCAGAUAUCAGGAGGAACACCGAUGGCGAAGGCAGGUCUCUGGGCUGUAACUGACGCUGAGGAGCGAAAGCAUGGGGAGCGAACAGGAUUAGAUACCCUGGUAGUCCAUGCCGUAAACGUUGGGCACUAGGUGUGGGGGACAUUCCACGUUUUCCGCGCCGUAGCUAACGCAUUAAGUGCCCCGCCUGGGGAGUACGGC